AGCAGCCGCGGUAAUUCCAGCUCCAAUAGCGUAUAUUAAAGUUGUUGCAGUUAAAAAGCUCGUAGUUGAAUUUCGGGAUCAAUAUAUUGGUCAUGCUUAGGUAUGUACUGGUAUUAUUGAUUUCUCCCUUCUGAAGAACCAUAAUGUCAUUAAUUUGAUGUCAUGGGGAAUCAGGACUGUUACUUUGAAAAAAUUAGAGUGUUUAAAGCAGGCUUUCGCUUGAAUACAUUAGCAUGGAAUAAUGAAAUAGGACGUUUGAUUCUAUUUUGUUGGUUUCUAGGAUCGACGUAAUGAUUAAUAGGGAUAGUUGGGGGCAUUAGUAUUCAAUUGUCAGAGGUGAAAUUCUUGGAUUUAUUGAAGACUAACUACUGCGAAAGCAUUUGCCAAGGAUAUUUUCAUUAAUCAAGAACGAAAGUUAGGGGAUCGAAGACGAUCAGAUACCGUCGUAGUCUUAACCAUAAACUAUGCCGACUAGGGAUCGGAUGAUGUUAAUUUUUAAUGACUCUACG
rnacentral:rRNA from 1 species